CCCUGGGUGGCUCAGUCAGUUAAGCAUCUGCCUUCAGCUCAGGUCAUGAUCCCUGGGUCGUGGGAUCGAACCCCACAUCAGGGU
rnacentral:tRNA from 1 species